AUUGAACGCUGGCGGCAUGCUUUACACAUGCAAGUCGAACGGUAACAGGCCGCAAGGUGCUGACGAGUGGCGAACGGGUGAGUAAUGCAUCGGAACGUGCCCAGUCGUUGGGGAUAACUACUCGAAAGAGUAGCUAAUACCGCAUACGAUCUAUGGAUGAAAGCGGGGGACCGUAAGGCCUCGCGCGAUUGGAGCGGCCGAUGUCAGAUUAGGUAGUUGGUGGGGUAAAGGCUCACCAAGCCAACGAUCUGUAGCUGGUCUGAGAGGACGACCAGCCACACUGGGACUGAGACACGGCCCAGACUCCUACGGGAGGCAGCAGUGGGGAAUUUUGGACAAUGGGCGCAAGCCUGAUCCAGCAAUGCCGCGUGCAGGAAGAAGGCCUUCGGGUUGUAAACUGCUUUUGUACGGAACGAAACGGCUCUGGUUAAUACCCGGGGCUAAUGACGGUACCGGAAGAAUAAGCACCGGCUAACUACGUG
rnacentral:rRNA from 1 species